rnacentral:rRNA from 1 species
UACAGAGGGGCGAGCGUUGUUCGGAAUUACUGGGCGUAAAGGCGCGUAGGCGGCCAACUAAGUCAGACGUGAAAUCCCUCGGCUCAACCGGGGAACUGCGUCUGAUACUGGAUGGCUUGAAUUCGGGAGAGGGAUGCGGAAUUCCAGGUGUAGCGGUGAAAUGCGUAGAUAUCUGGAGGAACACCGGUGGCGAAGGCGGCAUCCUGGACCGAGAUUGACGCUGAUGCGCGAAAGCCAGGGAGCAAACGGG